rnacentral:rRNA from 1 species
AAUACCCUAUUAUUUUGAAAGUAAAUAAUUAAACCUAAUUAGUAAAAGUUAAGUUCUUAAAAAUUAAAGAAUCUGGCGGUAUUUUAGUCUAUUCAGAGGAAUCUGUCCUAUAAUUGAUAAUCCACGAUUUUUUAUACCUAUUUUAUUAAUUUACAUAUCGCCGUAGUUUGAAUAUUUUUUGAAAAUUAUAAUAUUCAUAAUUUAUUUAAUAAAAAAAAUCAGGUCAAGGUGUAGUUUAUAGAUAGGAAGAGAUGGGUUACAAUAAAAGUAUUUAUUAUGGAUUAAUUAAUUAAAUUUUUUUAUGAAGGUGGAUUUGAAAGUAAUUUUAUUUA